AAUAUACUCCCUCCGUCCGAAAAUACUUGUCUUAUAAAUGAUUGUAUCUAUACUUAUUUUAAUUAUAGACGCAUCCAUUUUAUCCAUUUAUAGGAUAAGUAUUUCCGGACGAAGAGAGUAUUAU
rfam:Triticum aestivum genome assembly, contig: Triticum_aestivum_CS42_TGACv1_scaffold_392711_5AS